GCCUGGGUGGCUCAGUCGGUUGAGCGUCCGACUCCAGAUCUGGUGGUUUGCGGGUUCGAGCCCCGCGUCAGGCU